UACGUAGGGUGCGAGCGUUAAUCGGAAUUACUGGGCGUAAAGCGUGCGCAGGCGGUUUGCUAAGACCGAUGUGAAAUCCCCGGGCUUAACCUGGGAACUGCAUUGGUGACUGGCAGGCUAGAGUAUGGCAGAGGGGGGUAGAAUUCCACGUGUAGCAGUGAAAUGCGUAGAGAUGUGGAGGAAUACCGAUGGCGAAGGCAGCCCCCCUGGGCCAAUACUGACGCUCAUGCACGAAAGCGUGGGGAGCAAACAGG
rnacentral:rRNA from 1 species